UACGGGGGGGGCAAGCGUUGUUCGGAAUUACUGGGCGUAAAGGGCUCGUAGGCGGCCAACUAAGUCAGACGUGAAAUCCCUCGGCUUAACCGGGGAACUGCGUCUGAUACUGGAUGGCUAGAGGUUGGGAGAGGGAUGCGGAAUUCCAGGUGUAGCGGUGAAAUGCGUAGAUAUCUGGAGGAACACCGGUGGCGAAGGCGGCAUCCUGGACCAAUUCUGACGCUGAUGGGCGAAAGCCAGGGGAGCAAACGGG
rnacentral:rRNA from 1 species